ACGAACGCUGGCGGCGUGCUUAACACAUGCAAGUCGAACGGAAAGGCCCUGCUUUGUGGGGUGCUCGAGUGGCGAACGGGUGAGUAACACGUGAGUAACCUGCCCUUGACUUUGGGAUAACUUCAGGAAACUGGGGCUAAUACCGGAUAGGAGCUCCUGCUGCAUGGUGGGGGUUGGAAAGUUUCGGCGGUUGGGGAUGGACUCGCGGCUUAUCAGCUUGUUGGUGGGGUAGUGGCUUACCAAGGCUUUGACGGGUAGCCGGCCUGAGAGGGUGACCGGCCACAUUGGGACUGAGAUACGGCCCAGACUCCUACGGGAGGCAGCAGUGGGGAAUAUUGCACAAUGGGCGGAAGCCUGAUGCAGCCAACGCCGCGUGCGGGAUGACGGCCUUCGGGUUGUAAACCGCUUUCGCCUGUGACGAAGCGUGAGUGACGGUAAUGGGUAAAGAAGCACCGGCUAACUACGUGCCAGCAGCAGC
rnacentral:rRNA from 1 species